GGACGAACGCUGGCGGCGUGCCUAACACAUGCAAGUCGAACGGGGUAGGAGAGCUUGCUUUCCUACUUAGUGGCGGACGGGUGAGUAACGCGUGAGUAACCUGCCUUACAGAGGGGGACAACUGUUGGAAACGACUGCUAAUACCGCAUAAUGUCUAACCGAGGCAUCUCGGAUAGACCAAAGGAGCAAUCCGCUGUAAGAUGGACUCGCGUCCAAUUAGAUAGUUGGUGGGGUAACGGCCCACCAAGUCGACGAUUGGUAGCCGGACUGAGAGGUUGAACGGCCACAUUGGGACUGAGACACGGCCCAGACUCCUACGGGAGGCAGCAGUGGGGGAUAUUGCACAAUGGAGGAAACUCUGAUGCAGCAACGCCGCGUGAGGGAAGAAGGUUUUCGGAUUGUAAACCUCUGUUUUUAGUGAAGAAACAAAUGACGGUAGCUAAAGAGGAAGCCACGGCUAACUACGUG
rnacentral:rRNA from 1 species